AGCGAACGCUGGCGGCAGGCCUAACACAUGCAAGUCGAACGAAGUCUUCGGACUUAGUGGCGGACGGGUGAGUAACACGUGGGAACGUGCCUUUAGGUUCGGAAUAACUCAGGGAAACUUGUGCUAAUACCGAAUGUGCCCUUCGGGGGAAAGAUUUAUCGCCUUUAGAGCGGCCCGCGUCUGAUUAGCUAGUUGGUGGGGUAAUGGCCCACCAAGGCUACGAUCAGUAGCUGGUCUGAGAGGAUGACCAGCCACAUUGGGACUGAGACACGGCCCAAACUCCUACGGGAGGCAGCAGUGGGGAAUCUUGCGCAAUGGGCGAAAGCCUGACGCAGCCAUGCCGCGUGGAUGAUGAAGGUCUUAGGAUUGUAAAAUCCUUUCACCGGUGAAGAUAAUGACUGUAGCCGGAGAAGAAGCCCCGGCUAACUUCGUGCCAGCAGCCGGGUAAUAC
rnacentral:rRNA from 1 species